GCUGUCGGUGCUUCCCGGAGGGGAAGAUAAUAGGGAAACAGGUGCAAGACCUGUGCAGUCACGCUGCCGUAAGGGACAGCUUUUCUCCACGCGUAAUGCAUGCCACUGCUAAAGCGGGAAGGCGGAGAAAAGCGCUGAAUCCGAGCCGGAAGACCUGCCGACAU
rnacentral:ncRNA from 1 species